GCCGGGGCGUCCCCCGCGGGAGCCCGCAGCCACCCGGGACGCGCAUCCAGACGUGGCGCUUCGGACCGGGCACGCUGCGCCCGGGGGCUCGGCGGACCCCGCGUAGCCGCCGCUUCGGAGCUUGUGCGGCGCGGGCUGGCCAGCGGGGCGGCCAGGGCCCGGCCCGCCUCCCCAGCGCCCGCCCGGCUUCUCCCCCUGGCGGUGGGAGCCUCGGCGGCCGCUGGCGACACUAGGCGCACUGAAGCCCGAGCCGAGCCGAGCCCGAGCCGCCGCCGCCGCCGCCGCUGCUGCGCACCGCUCCCGGGCUCCCUCCCAGCGCGCCGGCCGGGGUGUGGGGGGCGGCGGGCCGGAGGGGCGAGGGCGGGCCAGGGGGCGCACACGGGGGUUGGCGCGGAAGACAGGACCCUCAGCCUCGAGGGAGCCCCUAGGUGACCAGGCAAAAUGGCAGUUCCUUCCAGCUGGUCCUCAGAUGGGCACAUCUAUUAGCCUCUGCUCUUGUAAGAAGUUAGCUGCAGAACCCACAUGUGAAUCCUUGUAGGACUCUGGAGAAGAUCAAAUGGGAGCUUAGAUGUGGAAGCUCUUUGGAAACCAAGAAACACUCUGAAAAUGAAAAGGGUGGAAGAGUAAACUGUUCCUGUUUCUCCAUCUUGACAGGAAGCAGAAGUUCUCCUUAGCUGAUUUUUCUUCUUGCCUUAUACUGGGUUCUUUAACACCAGAACAAAAAUAAAUAAAUAAAAGAAUCUUCCAGAAAUUCAUGAAGAGACUUCAGGUCAGGAAAGCCUGAACUUUCUCAUCCAACACCCGUUCAAGUCGGAGGAUGCUGAUUAAUUCAUGAUGGAAAGGUAUCAAUUUCACAGCCCAGACCUCUACAUUCUUGAAAUGCUCUUCUCAUGGGAGACAUUAAAUAAGCUUUGAAUUAACUGACCAAUCAUGAUCUUUAUAGAAAAAUUGGAAGGAAGUACAGAAACAUGUGAAUGGAAAAAUAUCCAACCCGAGCAGGAUAAAACUGAUCAUCCUGAGGAUAUUGCCCUUGGAGUUAAUUUUUUGAGAGAAAUAAAACAAUAAACAUCAUAAGACACAAACCCCAAGCAACUGGUAACCCUGGGAUAUAAAAACAUAUCCAUUGAUAUUUAACCUACCACAGAUUGGCACUAAAUGUAACAACAGUAGGACUAGGACAACUUGGGAUCAUGUGAACAGACCAGAAACUACAGACUGCAACAGAAAUGUGCAGAUUGCCCAGGUGGUUUCUACAGCCUUGCAGCGAUGAAACCCCAUGUCUUAUAUACUUGGUGUUUCCUCUGUUUGAUUCUAAUGAGCUUCUAAUCUCUACUGAUGGUGUUUCUCUUUCUACCUCAUCAGCCCAGGGCUCAUUCAUUUUAUCCUGUUUCACCUAUGCUAUAGAUAAUAGAAAACCCAAGGCCACUCAAACAUAAGUAGCUUGAUCAAUGCUAAUUCCUGAUCAAGUCAACCCAAUAUCCAGCAUCAAUUAGAUAAUGUAAAUUGUAUUUCCUCACUAAUUUAUUAUAAAUUAUAAUAAAAUGUAAAGCAUAGUGUUUAUAAUAUACCAGACAUUAUCCUAGCUCUUUUGCAUGAAUUGACUUUU
rnacentral:lncRNA from 1 species